AUCCGAAAUUAAAGACCGAAAUUUAUUUUUCUAACAGAGUGUUUAAGAGAAAUUUGAAUGAUCCGGAAAGGGACUACUAGAAAUCAAAGCACACAUAAGGUGAUUAAUGAAUCGCUAGGGUUACAGGGAGAUCCCGAUAUUGGGUGAGAAAAUUUAGGGUUUCAAAUGGGUUCGCGUGUUUUGAUCUCAAGGGCUAGCAGAAUCAAGGAAAAACUGCAAUUUGCAUUGGAAGCCAGCGUUUUGGAAGUGGAAGACGUGUCAUACCAGCAUGCAGGUCAUGCUGCAGUUAAGGACAACGCGAGCGAAACCCAUUUCAAUGUCAAGAUUGUGUCACAGAAAUUUGACGGGCAGAGUUACGUAAGCCGCCAUCGAAUGGUGUAUGAUGUUUUAAAAGAUGAGCUUCAAUCUGGUUUACAUGCGCUGUCUAUUGCGGCAAAGACUCCGCGAGAAGUUGGGAAACAUUGAUUCCUUCAUGAACAGUUGAACUCAAGCUUUAGGGGAGAGGCCAUAAUACAUGCUUACUCAGGAUGAUGUUUGUGAGAGUGCUUCAGAGUUAAGUGUCGUAUUUGCUGUCAAACUCUCCAGAGUCGAGUUCUUUUCAGCCAGGAGAGUAUGAUGGAGGACCUCCACCCCCACUUAGGCCAUCUAUUAGGUACACAGAUCUUAAGCAUAGGCUUAGGAAAAUAAAAUUUAUGUAUUAAAUCCACAACUCUGUUGGUUGUAAAUUUUUUUUGUAUUUUUUUUUUAUAAUUUAGAGGUUGAUUUGUAACUAUGUGUUGUUAAUUGUAGGAUGUUUAAAUAUUUUGUUGUUGUGUUGACAAACUUUCAUUAGCAUUUUGAAUCAAAUCAGAAUUUCCCA